rnacentral:rRNA from 1 species
GUGUCAGCAGCCGCGGUAAUACGGAGGGUGCGAGCGUUAAUCGGAAUUACUGGGCGUAAAGCGUGCGCAGGCGGUUGUGUAAGACAGGUGUGAAAUCCCCGGGCUUAACCUGGGAAUUGCAUUUGUGACUGCAUGACUAGAGUGUGUCAGAGGGGGGUGGAAUUCCACGUGUAGCAGUGAAAUGCGUAGAUAUGUGGAGGAACACCAAUGGCGAAGGCAGCCCCCUGGGAUAACACUGACGCUCAUGCACGAAAGCGUGGGGAGCAAACAGGAUUAGAUACCCCCGUAGUCC